GUGGGGAAUUUUGGACAAUGGGCGCAAGCCUGAUCCAGCAAUGCCGCGUGUGUGAAGAAGGCCUUCGGGUUGUAAAGCACUUUUGUCCGGAAAGAAAUCUCCUGGGUUAAUACCUCGGGGGGAUGACGGUACCGGAAGAAUAAGCACCGGCUAACUACGUGCCAGCAGCCGCGGUAAUACGUAGGGUGCGAGCGUUAAUCGGAAUUACUGGGCGGAAAGCGUGCGCAGGCGGCUAUGCAAGACAGAUGUGAAAUCCCCGGGCUCAACCUGGGAACUGCAUUUGUGACUUCAUGGCUAGAGUGCGUCAGAGGGAGGUGGAAUUCCGCGUGUAGCAGUGAAAUGCGUAGAGAUGCGGAGGAACACCGAUGGCGAAGGCAGCCUCCUGGGAUGACACUGACGCUCAUGCACGAAAGCGUGGGGAGCAAACAGGAUUAGAAACCCGUGUAGUCC
rnacentral:rRNA from 1 species